AUCCAGCUGACGAGUCUCAAAUAGGACAAAAUGCACCUGCUGGAU
rnacentral:hammerhead_ribozyme from 1 species